AGCCGCCGCGGUAAUACCGGCAGCUCGAGUGAUGACCGAUUUUAUUGGGCCUAAAGCGUCCGUAGCUGGCCGUACAAGUCCGUCGGGAAAUCUACCUGCCCAACAGGUAGGCGUCCGGCAGAAACUGUAUGGCUUGGAACCGGAAGGCGUGAAGGGUACGUCUGGGGUAGGAGUGAAAUCCUGUAAUCCCAGACGGACCACCGAUGGCGAAAGCACUUCACGAGGACGGAUUCGACAGUGAGGGACGAAAGCUAGGGUCUCGAACCGGAUUAGAUACCCGGGUAGUCCUAGCCGUAAACGAUGUCUGUUAGGUGUGACUCCCACUACGAGUGGGUGUUGUGCCGUAGGGAAGCCGCUAAACAGACCGCC
rnacentral:rRNA from 1 species